rnacentral:rRNA from 1 species
AUACGGAGGAUCCGAGCGUUAUCCGGAUUUAUUGGGUUUAAAGGGAGCGUAGGUGGGUUGUUAAGUCAGUUGUGAAAGUUUGCGGCUCAACCGUAAAAUUGCAGUUGAAACUGGCAGUCUUGAGUACAGUAGAGGUGGGCGGAAUUCGUGGUGUAGCGGUGAAAUGCUUAGAUAUCACGAAGAACUCCGAUUGCGAAGGCAGCUCACUAGACUGUUACUGACACUGAUGCUCGAAAGUGUGGGUAUCAAACUGGAUUAGAUACCCUGGUAGUCCACACAGUAAACGAUGAAUACUCGCUGUUUGCGAUAUACAGUAAGCGGCCAAGCGAAAGCAUUAAGUAUUCCACCUGGGGAGUACGCCGGCAACGGUGAAACUCAAAGGAAUUGACGGGG